GGGCCUAUAGCUCAGUUGGUUAGAGCAACGGACUCAUAAUCCGUGGGUCCCAGGUUCAAGUCCUGGUGGGCCCA
rnacentral:tRNA from 3 species